CAGCAGCCACGGUAAAACGAGGGGUGCAAGCGUUACUCGGAAUUACUGGGCGUAAAGCGUGCGUAGGUGGUGGUUUAAGUCCGUUGUGAAAGCCCUGGGCUCAACCUGGGAAUUGCAGUGGAUACUGGGUCACUAGAGUGUGGUAGAGGAUAGUGGAAUUUCCGGUGUAGCAGUGAAAUGCGUAGAGAUCGGAAGGAACAUCUGUGGCGAAGGCGACUAUCUGGGCCAACACUGACACUGAGGCACGAAAGCGUGGGGAGCAAACAGGAUUAGAUACCCCGGUAGUCCCUGUCUCUUAUAC
rnacentral:rRNA from 1 species